UUUAACUUCGCAGUGGUGAUGCGGACGGUAAACGUUUACAGUUGUGCCAACAGCAGGACUCUCCAUGCAGUGACGAGGUCCACGUCGCUGCGAUCAACGACAAGCAUGACAGAGCUCCGGAACAGCAUGCGAUGGAAACACCAUGGACAUGAGUAGUACCCAUUGUAUUGAACCAUGUUCAACAUCCCAGCACGUGCAGGUGGAUCGGCGACACAUGUUAUACAGUAUACCUGAAAUGUAUGCUAAACAGUAAGGUGAG